UCUCUAGCCUCCGCCUCCAGGCGGGUGAGGAGGUGACACCUGAGAAUUCCUCCCUCUCACCCCUGACCCUGCCGGAAAGGGAAACUGAGAUGCGGGCAUUGGGCCCUGGGAAGCGUGGGGAAGGGGAAAGGAGAAAGCCAGGUUAACUACGUCAGGAUUAAUGUGUUCCACUUCUGCUGCCUGAGAAAAUGGAGAAAUUAAGUCCUUUCCAUGAAUCACUCCUUCUGUAAACAGAGAUCACAAAGCAAGAGCUUUAGCAUCCUCGUGAAAAGACAUUUUGUUCUGGGUGUCAUCAUCUCCUUCCACUACAGCUUGCAAUUGGAACAAGCUUCAUAUCCUGGGGGUGCUGCCUAUCUCUGUCUUGAUUUCUGUCUGUCUAUUCCUCCCAUUGACAGGAAUAUCGUUUGUAUCCUCCACGCAGCAGUUUGCAGAAAUCCAGCAAGGUUUAUGGUUUAUGUUGCCCAGCAUGUAUAAACACAGUGCUCUCAAAUGUUUUUUAAAAAUCUGUGAAUUUGUUAGAUGUCUUAACAUCCUGGUCCUCCUACCCCAAUUCUCAAACACAAAGUACUCUAUUUCCCUGAUAUAGUCCUACGAUAGUUCUGGCUAGGAUUAGGUUGACGGUCUAAGCCCCAAGAAAGGCCUGGCAUUUUCAUAGCAGGCCUUCCCCAAUGCUUUGAGUCUUCCUCUCUCACUCCCUUUUUCUUUUUCCCUCGGAGGAGGGGGUGAUGGGGGUGGGAGGUCUUUAGCAAAUGUUUCAGGUAAUC
rnacentral:lncRNA from 1 species